rnacentral:rRNA from 1 species
GACGAACGCUGGCGGCGUGCUUAACACAUGCAAGUCGAACGCUGAAGCUUGGUGCUUGCCCUGGGUGGAUGAGUGGCGAACGGGUGAGUAAUACGUGAGUAACCUGCCCUUGACUUUGGGAUAAGCCUGGGAAACUGGGUCUAAUACUGGAUACGACAUGUCACCGCAUGGUGGUGUGUGGAAAGGGUUUUACUGGUUUUGGAUGGGCUCACGGCCUAUCAGCUUGUUGGUGGGGUAAUGGCUCACCAAGGCGACGACGGGUAGCCGGCCUGAGAGGGUGACCGGCCACACUGGGACUGAGACACGGCCCAGACUCCUACGGGAGGCAGCAGUGGGGAAUAUUGCACAAUGGGCGGAAGCCUGAUGCAGCGACGCCGCGUGAGGGAUGACGGCCUUCGGGUUGUAAACCUCUUUCAGCACGGAAGAAGCGAAAGUGACGGUACGUGCAGAAGAAGCGCCGGCUAACUACGUG